CCCUACGGGGUGCAGCAGGCAAGACGUACUCUUGACAGGCUUGUGGGCUAUCAGAUUUCUCCUCUCUUAUGGAAAAAAGUAAAAAGAGGACUUAGUGCAGGAAGGGUGCAGUCUGUCGCUGUCAGAAUUAUAUGCGAAAGAGAACGGACGAUUCAGGCGUUUGAAUCCGAAGAAUAUUGGAGUAUUACCGCAUAUCUUGAAGGAAAUUCUCCUCCGGCGUUUUCAGCCAAACUUGUCCGCAAAAAUGGCAAAAAGCUUCAGAUUCCGAAUGAUGCUUCUGCAAAGAAAAUCCUGAAAGAUUUGUCAGGCAAGGAUGCGGUAAUUGACAAUAUCACAAGGAAAACUGUUAAGCGCAAUCCGUCUCCGCCGUUCACCACGAGCAAGCUCCAGCAGGAAGCUAUCCGAAAGCUUAAAUUUUCCGCCAAAGCCACGAUGAUGGUGGCACAGCAAUUGUAUGAAGGCGUUGAAAUUAACGGAGAGC
rnacentral:rRNA from 1 species